rnacentral:tRNA from 1 species
GGCGGCGUAGCUCAGUCGGACAGAGCGCAUCGUCUCGACAUGCUGGUGGUUGGCACUUCCAGUAUGGACGAUGAGGCCGCGGGUUCAAGUCCCGCCGCCGCCU